UACGAAACAGAAACAGUGCGGUGUCCAUGCAGCUGGGUUUUUAUCCACCUCGCGACCAGGGUGGAAACAUUGCUGUUCUUAGCAAAGAGUCGAUCACCAGCUGGUCCAGCUGCCAGGAAGAAGAACCAACAAAAACUGAAUGGCAAGUAGAGGGAAAGUCCACAAAGGAAGGAAUGGGAUGAUCCAAAAUGGACGAGCUGUGUGUUUACUGUAGGUCUCAGUAAUAAGAAGGACAAACGGUCAGAACUAACACAAAAAAAAAAGGAAUUUAUCGCCAAAAUUGGAACUAAGCAAAGGUUGAUUUAGUUUAGGUUAACGCCCGCCAGGACGGGCAGACAUAAGCGGUUGUCAACAUAACCGCAAUCCAGACCUAACAGUUGCCCACAUGUGACUUUGUAGGAAAAUGAAUGAAUAAAUAAAAGAAAAUUAAUAUUUAAAAAUUGAAAAAAUCUUGUGACUUUGUAAAUAA